UACGAAGGGGGCUAGCGUUGCUCGGAAUCACUGGGCGUAAAGGGUGCGUAGGCGGGUCUUUUAAGUCAGGGGUGAAAUCCUGGAGCUCAACUCCAGAACUGCCUUCGAUACUGGGAAUCUUGAGUCCGGAAGAGGUGAGUGGAACUGCGAGUGUAGAGGUGAAAUUCGUAGAUAUUCGCAAGAACACCAGUGGCGAAGGCGGCUCACUGGCCCGGUACUGACGCUGAGGCACGAAAGCGUGGGGAGCAAACAGGG
rnacentral:rRNA from 1 species